rnacentral:rRNA from 1 species
GACGAACGCUGGCGGCGUGCCUAAUACAUGCAAGUCGAACGGUCUUUUCUAUGGAAGCUUGCUUCCACUGAGAAGAUAGUGGCGAACGGGUGAGUAACACGUGGUAACCUGCCCAUAAGAGGGGGAUAACAUCCGGAAACGGGUGCUAAUACCGCAUAGUUUUCUUGAUCGCAUGAUUGAGAAAGGAAAGACGGCCUUUGUGCUGUCGCUUAUGGAUGGACCCGCGGCGUAUUAGUUAGUUGGUGAGGUAACGGCUCACCAAGACGAUGAUACGUAGCCGACCUGAGAGGGUGAUCGGCCACAUUGGGACUGAGACACGGCCCAAACUCCUACGGGAGGCAGCAGUAGGGAAUCUUCCGCAAUGGACGAAAGUCUGACGGAGCAACGCCGCGUGAGUGAAGAAGGUUUUCAGAUCGUAAAACUCUGUUGUCAGAGAAGAACAAGUUGGAGAGUAACUGCUCCAGCCUUGACGGUAUCUGACCAGAAAGCCACGG